CUCUUUAGAGCUGUAAAUAAGCAUCAGUCUUUUAAACUGAGGAAAAUCGCAAUUAGAUUUAAAGAGA
rnacentral:tRNA from 1 species